rnacentral:lncRNA from 1 species
UUUUACACGUUCCAUAGAUAUAUUGAUGGACGAGAUUGCAAUUGGUUUGAAUUCCACACCAAGCUUUCCCGAUCGAAUUGCACUCUUACUAUCUUCUACUAUCGAUCCUUUUAACGCACUAGAAGUGAUAUCAGAAAUAGUAUUGAUGCACUUUGAAACAAAACUCCACAAGCUUUUCUUUCCUCGAUAUAGACUCAAUGACAUAUCAGGUAAUGUAAGUGGACGAGAAGGGUCAUCAGCCCUUUUAAAUAUAGUAAACAAUACAAUAACCAUUGAGUAUUCAUCUCCAAGUGCAUGACUAAGCUUGAACACCACAGACCCUUUGCCAUUAAUGUAGGAUACUUGACCACAUGAAUUUCCUUGACAAAAGUGGUCCAUCCGCUAUCUUUGCCAUGUGUUCUCUUAAAUUUUCGUCAUACUCCAUUCCAUUGUGGACAAUCCUUCAGGAAAUGUGGGGAAAAGAAUAUGAUCUUCAACUCUAACAUCGACCUUCUUCCAACAAGGUACACCUUUCUCAUUGACAAGUAUAAACAUGCUACGUAUGAUUUCUGUAAUUUCAAACUCAUCUACAAAUGUCCCGAGCUCCACUGCACACAAAAUGGUCAAGGAUAUAAUAGGACUAUUAAAAGAUUGUGAUGCUGGACUCAAGGGGAUCAUUAGGGUAUCUUCUUCUAGUCUUUGAGUUUGGUUUGUUCGAUUGAAAGCCAUUGAUAUUUCUCCAAAUAGUCUCUCCUUAUCUAUCUUUAUUGAUUUACUAAGGGUUUGUUUGAUUGGUCGAUGUAAUAAUUCCUAGGAAAUUAUCGGGUCAGUUAUACAAUUUCGGUUUAAUUUAGCGAAAGAACACUCUAAAAUAACGGGAUUUAAAGAAAAAAUCCCUAAUAUAACGGUUACAUGAAUAUUCUCUCAUAAAAAUAUUCCCACGAUUUAAACCAAUUUUUGGGGGGAUUUUUUAUAAGGUGGUCUGCGCUACUGUUUCGGGAGAUUUAGGUGAUAAUAUUUCCCUGAGAUUGAGAUCUAAACUGUUAUUUCAUAAAAUGACACGACCAAUCAAACCGACCCUAAGUAAAAAGUUUUUCGACCAUUUGUAUAUAGUGCUUAUUUGACGUGCGCAUUUAUUAACCAUUCAAGUUAUAGUUCGGGUGAAUUGAAUUCUUUCCCUUGCGAUCUAACUACUUCUGCAGUUCUGCCCGUACUUGCAUGACAUGCUAUGUACCUAUGUCUGCAUGUGCUUUAUAUAUAAAAGAGUCACUAAGAUUGCGCUGUAUAUGUACGUGUGUGGAUUAGCACUGUUUUGGACCCAUUGACAUAUAUUAUCUUUGGCAGACAAUUAAGUUGGUAGUGGUUGAUCAUGCAUCUGUGGGUACAUAGUGUAGUCCCAAAUCUCGGACUAUACUACACGGUAUGGAUAUCUCCCUGAUAAUCCAAGGGCUGAGCUCUUCCCUGCUUCCUGUUACACAGACGAAACAAGACCGGAGGAGCGUCCGGUGUGAGCACUCCGACAGUCAAGUCAGUAAAUGUGUGGAAGGAGAUAGAACUUGACAAAGUAGGGUUUUGAGUGAGUAGAGUGUACCUUACACCUUGGGGCUUCCCCUUUUAUAGUGUUUGAACUGACCUCUUAUAUAGGUCGUCCGUCUGUUUAGCGAGAUCCUAAAGUAGAUAUGUCUCUACGUGGGUGGCUGUGAGUCUUGUCUCCGCUUGACCGCAGCCUUUGACUAGUCAUGGAAUGCAUUGCAGCUGUACCCCUCACGUGUCUCACGUGCCGGCUACCCGACAAGGUGAGGGCUUAUCCAGUGGUCCAUCGGUGACUUAAUGCGAGAUAAGUCCGAGUUGUGUAGUGCUGCCACGUUUACGUACCGAAAUAUGCUCCCACACAUAGGCAGGCAAAGUACACUAAUUAUUCAAUUUUGGCAUUGCUGAUCUUAGACUCUUAAGUGUUAACCUACCAAAUACUGUGAUUUCGUAUGGAAUUUACAUGUAAUUCACAAUAAGUACCUACGUGUCUGCGUGGUGACUCUGGAACAUGAAUUAGCCUGAACUGCAGCUAUGCUGAUGGAGAUAUCUUAAACAAUAUUAUUGUCUGCGUGGUGACUCUGGAACAUGAAUUAGCCUCUCAUUUAAUUUGUUGCUUGGGACAUGAACAUGAAUUCUAUGAUUCUACAGUUGGUAGUAAAAUGAGAGGCUCCAAACGGUAAAAAUUCUGAGCUGUACUUUGGUGACAAAUGAAAUAUCUGCCUUCUUUAAUGUCUCUGCCAUUUAGUUUCUCCUGUCUACGUACACCUUGACAUUCAUGUCCCAAGCAACAAAAUAAAUAAAGGGGAGUCAAGCAAAUCAGCAUGCAUUCAGGUUUGAGUAAGAAGUUUUAAAUUACUAAGAUGGGAGCAAAGCAGCUUAUAUCCACAGAUAAUACACCGAAGCCCAUAUAACAACUCUUUGUUUCUGCGUUAAAUGCACACCCAGAUCUCCCAAGCAAAACCUUUUUACUCUGUAGUCUGUGUCUGUACACCAUCUUUCACAUCGAGGAAUUUCACUUGGUUCAGUUCUUUCCCUCUUGAGGCCUUGACUAGCCAGUUCGAAAUAAAUGAAAUUAGAUUUUAUUAAUUUGUAAAGUAAAAUAAAUAAAAUCCUGAUCAGCAUGCAUGCUAGAAGCAUUGUCAGGUUAGGACUCCACAAGAUACAACAGGUACCUCCAUUACACUGCACCUGACCCUAAAGACACAAAGACAUGGCAUCAUUGAAGCUCUCUCAAACCUUGUCAGCACCGCUGCAUCUUCAUCUGCAGCCAUAAUCCACUGGUAUGGUUUUUAAUUUUUAGUGCUGUUUACUGCAUUGUAGGUCAUUUUUUUUUUACAUGAUGAUUGAAAAAGAACAAUUUCUUAUAAAUAAGCAGCAGUGUGCCUUUUAAAUUUGAAGUUGGCAUAAUAUAUAUUGACAAAAUGCAUCCAAAACUUGUCUAAAACCUUAUACAGAUACACGGUCGGGCAGCAUGGUUUCUAUUAGAAAAAUGUGAAUCUGCUUCGUCAGGUGCACGUCGAAUGUAUGAUCAGAUCACAUCAAGAAGCAGUCCCAGCACCACAAGCUGCGUCAAAUAUGUUUUCAAAAGCUUCCUUCAUGCAGGAAUUGAAAAGUUUGGAAUCAAUGAAAUUCUUUUCCACUGUGGCAGUCAACUUUAAUUGCCCCGUCAACGACAUUGCAGUCAAAACAAGACUCUGCGCAUCCGAAAUUACAUAAAUAUACAGUAAUUGUGGAUCAUUUGCAUCCAAAUCAAAUAAUCCAUGUUAAUGCCAUAAAAAAAUAAUUGAGCUCUAUGUUACCUGAGGUAAUCCUGCCAAGAUGAAGUUGAUGGAACCUACUGGAUGGCCUGCCAGAGCCAUUUUCUCCUUUGGACCAAUUAAACUGGUUAUUGUGGUACUUGUAUUGCUUAAGUUUGCAUGCAGGAACUCAGUUACCCCCUGCAGAAAAAACAAGUAAACAACGUUCCUUCUUCCUUCCUAAAAUGCUUUAAAACAUUUACACGCAAUUGUUAAAUUUUAAAAAUCUCUGAAGUACCUUUAUUCCCCUAAUCGCCCUCAACACCUUAUUUAUUGGAUCUGACAAAGAAGCAAACAUAGAAUUCUUCUUUUUAUCCAUUAUUUCCUUUGCUUUGGUGAUGAAAUAGAGAGGAUGAACUUUUUCUUCACCACCAAGACAUGGUAUUGGUACAAGUAACAAUGCAACAUGAUUCCCCCACACAUUUGCCCUCAGCAUUUCAUCUAUGCUCUUAUACCCUUGAAGCACUCUAGUGUUGAAAGCCAUCACUAAGUUCAUGCUUUUUCCAGCAGAAGAGUCUCCUUUCUUCAGCAUGUACAAGUGAAUCGUGUAAUAUAUUACACCAGUUAUCACAUCAUUGAUAGUCUGUGUUUGAUAAAAACCAGUAAGAAAGUAAACAAGUGAUUAGAAGUGUGCCAAUAUAAUGUAACAAGUUCCGAAUGCGAUUUACUUCUACUUAAACACAACAUGGGAGUUACUUGAACGCAAAAUAAUUGAGGAUAUAUAUGACAACAACAAUGAAGAACAAAUGAAAAUAUUUCUCAAAGAACUUACCCCUCCCAGCUUUGUUUUGACCUGUUUUACACGUUCCAUAGAAAUAUUGAUGGACGAGAUUGCAAUUGGCUCGAAUUCCACACCAGGCCUUCCAGAUCGAAUUGCACUCUUACUAUCUUCUAAAAUCGAACCUUUUAACGCGCUAGAAGUGAUAUCAGAAAUAGUAUUAAUGCACUUUGAAACAUAACUCCACAAGCUUUUCUUUCCUCGAUAUAGACUCAAUGACAUAUCAGGUAAUGUAAGUGGACAAGAAGGGUCAUCGGCCCUUUUAAAUACGCUAAACAUUACACUAAGGAUUGAGUAUCCAUCUCCAAGUGCAUGACUAAACUUGAACACCACAGACCCUUUACCAUAUAAGGUAGGAUACUUGACUACAUGAAUUUCCCAUAAUGGUCUAUUUGACGAAAGCGGUUCACCCGCUAUUUUUGCCAAGUAUUCUUUCAAAUAUUCGUCGGACUCUAUGGUUGAUAAUCCUUUGGGAAAUGUAGGGACAAUAAUAUGAUCUUCAACUCUAACACUAACUUUCUUCCAACAAGGUACACCUUUAUCAUUGACAUGAAUAAUCGAAGAAAAACGUGUAUUUAAGGGUAAAAACAGAUUACGUAUGAUUUCUGUAGUUUCGAAUUCAUCUAAAUAUGUUUCAAGCUCCACUACACAGAAAAUAGUGAAGGAUAUGAUAGGACUGUUAAAAGAUUGCGAGGCUGGACUCAAGGGGAUCAUUAGGGUAUCUUCUUCAUGUGUUUGUGUUUGGUUUGGUUGAUUGAAUGCCAUUGAUAUGAUGCUUCUUCAAUAACUCUCUCCCUCUCGAUCUAUUCUUAUUGAUUCACUCGAGUUAAUCACUACUUAUAUAUAGUGCUUAUUCAACAUGCUGUUGCAUUUAAUUUAUAAACCAAUUCAAGCAACUUAUACUCUAUAGUUUGGGCGAUGAAUUGAAUUCUUUCCCUUAAUACCUAACUACUACUUCUCAGUACAUGUUGUGCUCUAUCUGCAUCACUGCAUGUGCAUAAGAGAGUCAAUAAGAUAUAUAUCUUAUCCUAUAUCUUAAAGUUAUUGGAUAUUUCUUUGGCAGACAAGUUGGUAGUUGGCAGUAGUUGAUUGUGUAGUAAUUCAAAUAUUUCUUUGGAUAUUUUCACAUGCAAAAAUUGGUAAAUGGCAGUCAUGUAUGUAUUUCUGCAUGUGAAAAUGAAAAUCAUAUUUGAUUUUAUUCCUCUGCCAUUUACCAAUUUUUCGGAAACGGUGUAAAAUAGAUAGGCUCGGCUUUGGGAGCUCGUAAUCUCACUACUGCCCAAUUCUAACUUGAGUAGGAAAACUUUUUGACGAUUCAAUUCUUCUCUGUAUUCAGAAGACAUGCCUUCUAUAACCUGAAACAAUUAAUAUUGCCGCGCUGCAAUAAAAAAGAAUACUGUAUAUUCUAAUUCUAUAUAUGAUUAUUAUUCAUAUGGCUGAUAGUAAAAAUGUAAAAUUAUGGGCUCCAUAUGAUGAGAAUUCUGAGCUGUACAUUGGUGACACAUAUCUACCUUCUUUAAUGUCUGCCAUUUCUGGAUAACAGAGGAAACCAUAGUCAAGUCUCAGAGGGCAAUUGCAUACCUUAUCUGAAUCAGCAGUGCAGGUGGUUUGGGUCUAGCUUAUACACAGACGCCCAUAUAACAGUUCUGUCUUAAAGUCCAGCCCAACCAUAAUGGCCAGUGGGCAGUGGCCACUCCUUUCUUUCUUGCUCUACUCUUUUACUUGCUGUACACCAUUUUCCUCAUAGAGGUUCUGUUUCAAUCAAAUGUCCCCUAAUUAACCAUUUUGAAAUAAAUGGUUUAGUGUUGUUGAUGGUGUUUGUACGUAGAACAUUCUUUUACAUGUGUUGAAUGCAAAAAAAUAAAAAUAAAAUUGUUUUUUUUUUUUGAUAAGUAAUAUUUUAUUGAUAAUGCAAAGGAAUUUUACACUCCUGAUCAGCCUAUGCACAGCAUAUCGUCAGGUAAAGGAAGAAAAGAAAAGAAUACAGCUGCAGUCAUCGAGUGAGAGCGCCGGUCACCACUUCUUCCCAUCGAAAUAACUAGUCUUGAAACUGAUAUAAAAAUAAAAUUGUUAUAUCUAAGUAGCACCACAGAUUUUAAAUUUUCAACUUCGCAUUCAUAAUACAUGUAGCCAAAAUGCUUCCAAAGAAGGUCUAAAACCAUAUACAAAUAAACUGACAAAUGGCAAAUCAAGCCUUGCUACUAGAUUAAACCAAGCAUACAAAUGGGGAUAUCUGUUGGUUCACGUGGACGUCGAAUGUAUGAUCUGAUCACUUCAAGAAGUAGUCCGAACGCCACAAGCAGCUUCAAAUAUAUUUUCAAAAGCUUCCUUCAUGCAGGAAUUGAUAAGUUUUGAAUCAAUAAAAUUCUUUUCCACUGUGGCAGUUAACUUUAAUUGCCCCAUCAACGACACUGCGGUCAAAACAAGACUCUGCGCAUCCAAAAACUUACAUAGUUAUUGAGAGAUGCGAGCCAAAUCAAAUGGUCCAUGUUAAUGCUAUCAAAAUUAAUUGAGCUUUAAUUACCUGAGGUAUUCCUGCCAAGAUGAAGUUGAUGGAACCUAUUGGAUGACCUGCCAGAGUCAUUUUCUCCUUUGGACCAAUUACACUUGUGACUGUGGCACUUGUAUUGCAUAAGCUUGCACGCAGAAACUCUGAAACACCCUGCAGAACAACAUAUUCCUUCUUAAUACACAUAAAACUAUUUAGGCGCAAUUUUAAUCGAUCUCUUAAUUACCUUUGUUCCUGUAAGGGUCCGCAACACCUUAUUUAUUGGAUCUGACAUAUAAGCAAACAUAGAGUGCUUCUUUUUAUCCAUGAUUUCCUUCGCUUUGGUGACGAAAUAGAGAGGAUCAACUUUUUGGUCACCACUAACACAUGGUAUUGGUACAACUAGCACGGCCACAUGGUUCCCCCAUACAUUUGCCUUGAGCAUUUGAUCUAUGCUCUUAUACCCUUGUAGCAUUCUUGUGUUGAAUGCCAUCGCUAAGUUCAUGGUUUUUCCAGUAGAAAUGUCUCCUGUCUUCACCAUGUACAAGUGAAUCAUGUAGUAUAUCACACCAGUGAUCACAUCAUUGAUACUCUGCGUUUGAUAAAAAAAUAAAGUAUAUCAGAAUAUAGAUUUAGCUAGAUCUGGUCAAAAAAAAAAAAAAAAAUGUACAUAAUUUUAAAAGAACAACUUACCCCUCCAACCUUUGAUUUGAUCUGUUUUAGAUGCUCCAAAGAGAUAGAGAUGGACGUGAUAGCAAUUGGCUCGAGUUCCACAUUAGGUUCUCCUGAUCGAAUCACACUCUUACUAUCUUUUGAAAUGGUUCCUUUUAACGCACUAGAAGUGAUAUCAGAUAUAGUAUUAAUGCACUUUGAAACAUAACUCCACAGGCUUUUCUUUCCUCCAUUUACUCUCAUUGACAUUUCAGGCAAUGUGAGUGGAAGAGAAGGGUCAUCAGCCCUUCCGAACACACUAAACAGUACACUAAUCAAUGAGUAUCCAUCUCCAAGUGCAUGGCUAAUCUUGAACACCACAGACCCUGCACCAUAUAAGGUAGGAUACUUGAC